rfam:Gossypium arboreum cultivar AKA8401 contig_54_7, whole genome shotgun sequence.
UGUUAUAAAUUUCAUCCAUUUGUACUGUUAAAAACAGACAUGGUUGAUGGAAUAACCAGACAGAUGUGACAUGUUACGUGUACCUCAUGCUAAUGUACAGGGACCAAUUUUUAACAAUAGAAAUAGAUGAAAUUUUUAAUA